rnacentral:tmRNA from 1 species
GGGGAUGAUCAGCUUCGACGGUCCUUACAUCCGCAGACGCAGGCCGAGCCGGGACACCUCGUAAAACCGUCCCAUGCAAGACAACUGCCAACGUCUUGAACAAGGUACAGAACACGUUCGCUUCGGCGUUCCGUGUCUCCGCACCUGCAAUGGCGCUCGCGUAAGCGAUCGUCACGAUCCCCCGCUUCGCGGCCCGACCUUGCGGAUCGGAUCGUCAUCGUUCGGGCUCGAGUCCGGUGCGCUCAUAUCCCGCGCCGGCUGACAGGCUGGAUAUGUAGGCACGGGGUUCUCGUCCGCUCGUCCACCCCGCGCCGAGAUCCCAGCAGCGGACCAAGCCUGUGAAGACCCUGCGGCUCGUGACGGAUCGGACGGGGGUGCGAUUCCCCCCAUCUCCACCA